rnacentral:rRNA from 1 species
GUCCACGCCGUAAACGAUGUCAACUAGUCGUCGGGGUCUUCGGAUCUUGGUGGCGCAGCUAACGCGUGAAGUUGACCGCCUGGGGAGUACGGCCGCAAGGUUAAAACUCAAAUGAAUUGACGGGGGCCCGCACAAGCGGUGGAGCAUGUGGUUUAAUUCGAUGCAACGCGAACAACCUUACCUACCCUUGACAUCCUCGGAACUUGGCAGAGAUGCCUUGGUGCCUUCGGGAACCGAGAGACAGGUGCUGCAUGGCUGUCGU